rnacentral:rRNA from 1 species
UACGUAGGGUGCAAGCGUUGUCCGGAAUUAUUGGGCGUAAAGAGCUCGUAGGCGGUGUGUCGCGUCGGCCGUGAAAACCUGGGGCUCAACUCUGGGCGUGCGGUCGAUACGGGCAUCACUUGAGUUCGGCAGGGGAGACUGGAAUUCCUGGUGUAGCGGUGAAAUGCGCAGAUAUCAGGAGGAACACCGGUGGCGAAGGCGGGGUCUCUGGGCCGAUACUGACGCUGAGGAGCGAAAGCAUGGGUAGCGAACAGG